rnacentral:sRNA from 1 species
AAAGACAGAAAUGGUGCUUAAUAAUUAUCUGUCAGGAUUCAGGUGAAAAUACCUGAGGUGGGAGAGCUGCUUUUUGACUGGCACUCUCUUGCUCCCGUAGUG